GAUGAACGCUAGCUACAGGCUUAACACAUGCAAGUCGAGGGGAAACGGCAUUAAGUGCUUGCACUUUUUGGACGUCGACCGGCGCACGGGUGAGUAACGCGUAUCCCACCUUCCCAUGACUAAGGGAUAACCUGCCGAAAGGCAGACUAAUACCUUAUGGUCUUCACUGACGGCAUCAGAUGUGAAGUCAAGAUUUAUCGGUUAUGGCUGGGGAUGCGUCUGAUUAGCUGGUUGGCGGGGUAACGGCCCACCAAGGCAACGAUCAGUAGGGGUUCUGAGAGGAAGGUCCCCCACAUUGGAACUGAGACCCGGUCCAAACUCGUACGGGGGGCAGCAGUGAGGAAUAUUAGUCAAUGGGCGAGAGCCUGAACCAGCCAAGUAGCGGGCAGGAGGACUGCCCUAUGGGUUGUAAACUGCUUUUGUAUGGGGGUAAAGUCAAUCACGUGUGAUUGUUUGCAGGUACCAUACGAAUAAGGACCGGCUAAUUCCGUG
rnacentral:rRNA from 1 species